GCUGGAAGACUUUCCUCCCCCUGUUGGAGUCCAGUGUUUCCCUCCACUAGAGGGCGACAUGAUGAAGUAGGCGCUGCACUACUUCUGCACUGUGUUCAAGCAUUGUGUCAAUAAGAAGUGGUGCUGUGAAGACAACAAUUGUCAGACUGAAUGUUGAACAUCAGCUAGUUUCUCCUGUUGAUUUAAACCUUGUUGUACAGAUGGAACAUUGGCUGUGGAUUAUUCUUGUUGCUCUUUUCUUUGGAGUCAGCUGUGAAGAACUGACUGCAGURAAGGAUGAAGUUUCCAGUUUAGAAGGCAGCUCUGUCACUCUGUCCUGUCCCAAACAAUCAUUAGAUUCAUUCUUCUUCUGGUAUCGAAAAUUUCUAGAUAAACCUCCGGAGAUCCUGAUCUCUCAUUCCCCUUCAGGAGUUGUAGCAACUAAAACAAGGAACGGACUGAAGAUGAAAGCCAGCAGCAACCAGAUAAACAUGGAGAUCUCCUCUGCUGCAGAGACAGACUCUGCUGUGUACUACUGUGCUGUGCAGCCCACAGUGACAGGAAACAGCUAAACUCUUUC